rnacentral:lncRNA from 1 species
UCGAACUUUUGGCCUUAGGUGAUCUCCCUCGGCCUCCAAAGUGCUGAGAUUACAGGUGUGAGCCACCCUGCCCGGCAGGACCUACAUUCUUAAUGAGCAUCUCUAUUGAUUUUGAGGCAGGUGGUCCAGAGAGUCAUUUUAAAAAGAUCAAUUUAGUAAUCAGAAGAGAUGAUAAAGACUCAUCUAUUUCAAAAUUGAAACAGUAUAAGGAGGUGUCUAGUGGGAGCUUCCCCUACCCUGCCCUUUCCAUCCACCUCCCUGCCCCCCAGUUAAUCACUGUUCUUAGGUGCCCUCAAAGAGCAGAGGGAGACCUUUGUGCCUGGCUGCCUUUUUUUUUUUUUUUUUAAAUACAAAAGGUAGCAUUGUACAUGCUUCUGGACUUGCUUUUUCCCUUAGUGUACCUUGGGGAAUUUGCCUUGAUAUAUGGAGAGAUGCAGCUGCUUUGUUUCAUGUUUUGCUUUUUUUUUUGGACAGUUGGACAUGCGUGUCCCAAGUGUGUUUAUUUAGCCGUUCUUUAUUGUGAUGACUGGGGUUGUUUCCAGCCUUUGGCUCAUUAUAAGGAAUGCUGCAGUGAAAUAGCCGUGUCUGUCUCGUUUGAUGUGUGCACAGGUAGACCUGUGUGACGAGUGCUUAGAUGCAGGAUUGCCGAGGCACAGGGAAAAUAAGUUUGUGGUUUUGCGAUGUUUCUAUUAGGCGAUGUCUGAGAGUGCCCCCAUGGCCUUGUGUUUUCAAACAUUUGGAUUUGUACCAGUCUGAGCAGUGGAAAAAUUCAGCACCUCGGGGUGUUUAACUUUCCUUUCUUUCUCUGUGGAUGAGUUUGACCCUCAAGGGCCAUGUGAGUUCCUAUUCUGAAGUGUCUAUAUUGUCUAUUUUUCUGUUGGGUAGUUGGUCUUUUUCUUAUUUAUGUAUUAGCUCUUUAUAGAUUAAGGAGCUUUGCCCUUUGUAAUCAGUGGGAAAUGUUUCUUUUUCCCACUUUGUCCUUUUGGGCCUCACUUUGAGAAACAGUCUUCUAGCUUAUCUAUGGGGUAAGGUUUCAGCAGACCCUCUAGAGAGCCCUAAAAUCAUGCCGUCCAAGAAAACUUCCGGCCAUUGUGGAAAUGCCCUUUAUCUGCACUGUCCAGUAGGCACCUGUGCCAAUUGCCUGUGCCGAUUGCCUGUGCUGACUGCUUGUGCCGAUUGAGCAUUUGAAAUACAGCCACCAAGGAAUGGAUUUUUUCUAGUUUAUUUUAAUUGAUUUAAAGAGCCACAUAUGGCUAGUGGCUACCUUCUUGGACAGUACAGCUCAGGAACCCACAAUAUCAUGAGACUUGUUACUAUAAUCUAUACUAUAAUUAUUGUUGCACAUCCUCCCAAGGUAAAAAAUAUACUUGCCCCACUGAGGGGAACAAAAUUACCAUCUCAAGCCAGCUGAGGUGCUACUCAGUUGAAAACUAUGGACCAAAACAUGAAUGGCCAGUAAAAACAGAUCGAGACCAGUGGGUGUAUAGGUCCUGGGUGUUGAGCUGGGUUUUGAAGACUGGAUAGGAUUUGGCCACGGAGAUAGCAAGGAGAAAGUUCAGAAGGGACAGCAUAUGCAAAGACCUGGAGGUGAAAUAGCUCAUGCAUUCCAGAGACUACAGGGGGUUCUGUGUCACCAGAGAACCAAGGGGCCAGGAGUGUUGGAAGAGGGGAAGUGGAGGCGCUCGAAGCUGGAGAGCUCAGCCAAGGCCUUGGACUCCAGGUGGAGAUCCCCACAGGGCUUGGCAGGCACUUAGUAAAUUGCGGUUUGUCCCAGGGUAGUUACACGAUGCAGGGGAAUGAUAAAUAGGAGCGGCUGAUGCAGCAGUACCUGGCACAUCAGGUACUGACAAGGUGGAGCUGACAAGGUGUUUUAGUAGGCAGGAGAGAUGGUCUCGUUUCCAUUUUCACAAGACAACAUGCCCUUUCCUUUACCAAGAUUCUGUAGGCUGGAGAGCCCCACCUGCCUUUUCUUCUUGGUACCUGCUGCUGUUGCCAAAGAGAAAACUGCUGGAACGACUAAGAGACCAGCUGGAGAGACCCUCCUCCCUGUCCCCCACUUCACUGCAGACGUGUUUCACAUGGAGAAAAGUUGAAAGAAUAGUAUAAUGAAUGGACAUCCACGCGCCCCACUCCUAGACUCUGCAGUCCCGCAUUCACCGUGUCUGCUUCAUCUGGUUGUGUUUUAUGCUGAACUUGAACUUGUGUUCAUACUUAGUGACAUUCUUAGUGUUUCAGCAGGCAUCUCCUAAGAAUAAGGACUUUCUCCUACAGAAUCAUGAUGCUGUCACGCCUGAGAUGAUUAUAAUCUUUGUUUACUAGUAACUUCUCCUUAUCCAUGCCGUACUUGAAUUUCUUUAGUUACCUUUUGAAGGAUAUGCAACCUUUAGAACAUUGUUUUAAAACCAGUAUUCAUUCAAGGUACAUGUCUCUUUGACUUGUUUUAUUUAAUCUAGUUCAGCCCUUUGUCUUUUUUUUUCCUCCCCAAGACAUUGAUUUUUUAUUAAUUUAUUUAUUUUUUUGACAAGCCAGGCUAGUUGUCUUGUAGAAUGUCACACCUUCUGGGUGUGUCAUAUUAUUGCCUUUUGGUGUUGUUUACUUUUGUUCCCCAUGUUUGUAUUUCUUGUAAACUAGAAUUAGGCCAGGAACAGGGUUGGCAAACUAUGGCCCUGCCUUCCAUUUUUGUAAAUAAAGUUUUAUUGGAACAUGA